UUCUCUUGUAAAUGCCCCGAGCACGCGGCCGUGCCAAUGGCCGUGCCGGGCGAUGGGGGUGCGCGGCACCACGCGCUGCUGUGCGCGGGCACCGCCAUCGUAAAUCGCUCUGAGCGCGGGCGCUGCGGGGCGGCACUACGAGGGAAGAAUUAAACCUGGUUUUGUGCGAGGUUAGAGAUCCCGGCAGCGCCUCUCGCACUGACUUGAUCUUCUGUUCUUGCACAUGUAUAUCUAUUGAAUCUAUCACGGUAAAAGUCGGAUGGCAAAUUUCUGUGUGGCACUAUCCGGAUUUCUUCGGGAAGAGGAAUUCUUGUAGUGCAGGCUUGAUAACAGAUAAUCAAAUUACACGUUGGCAUUCAAGACAUGCUUAAAAUAUCAAUCUCUCAGCGGUACGGAGCGUGUUAACAGCCUUGAACUCUGCACCCUCGGAGCGGCUUGUGGUGCUGACUGUAACCCGGCGCCUACGGUUACCCCGCCUGCAUCGCCAGUGGUGCCUCUUUAACAAACAAUAGAUCCGGAAAAACGAAUGCACAGACAAAUCCUUCUGGCCUGCACAUCAUCUGCAGCAGCUAGACAUUACAGAGAGGAGUUGGGGCACGUUUAUGGCCUAAUAACGUGCUUAAUCCCACUUCAUCAUCCUGUUGCACUGACAUCAUACGAACAGCUUUGCAGCAGCUCCUCAGGCUUAUGUUGGAACAGACUUCUCCACAGAAAGUGUGUUGAAUUCAUGUUCACUGGAUAACAGAAAUUGAGUCUAGAGAAAUGGAUCAAGGUGGAAGUCCAGAAAUGGGCAUAGGUCACUACUGAAGACAAGACAUUAAACUAGAUGGAUGGCUGAAUAGUCUGCGCUAAUACGGUAAUUUAAUGUUUGUAUCUUUCCAGAACUCUAGAAUCUGUUUAUUUCAAAUAUAAAUUUUAUAUUAACUCACAAAAAGUUCCUUUUUGCAUCCUUCCUUCUAUGCGUACUACUUUUUAUUUUUGUCAGCUACACCUACAAAUCAUCUAAAUCAUGAUUUUUUAGAAGUACCAAGUGAACCUCCAUUUAAAAGAAGGAACAGAACAACCACAGACGUUAAAGGAACCUGAUUUUUCUGGUAGAUACUCAGUAGACACUUAAGUCACGCUUUUAUUACUUGAGAGAUCUUGUGUAGUUUAGCCAACAUGUACAAUCACCUAGGAAAGCAAGUUAAUUUUUUCCUGCAUACAUGUCUGUAAAUACAUUGCCAGUCAUGGUAACGUUUCAUCAAGGUAACGCUGUGUACUCUGAAGUCAGAAACAAAGUGGUUGUUCAGAAUUUUAACACUUUCCUCUCCUCCGCCUGCCAAAAUAUUCCUCCUUUUAAGAUGAUGGCAUAUUUCAUCAAAUUCAGGGAGUCUCAGUGUUUCGCUUUGAAGUUGUUAGUGGUUGUUCAGUUGUUUUGGUAGCACCAGGAAGCCUCAUGUAAGAGCAGGGCAGGUUGAGUUUUUUGUCCUGUAAGCGCCCUGUGAGAGAUAAGAGCGCCCUGGAAUUGCUCACUCUGAGCAGACAAGUUGGACAGCAGAGGCACAGAGAAGAAAAAUGACUCAGUUCCUUGAAGGACCCUCUGCUAACAAGAGAAAAACAGAACAAUCGUAUUUAAAAAUGCCCACUCAUUGCAUUUUUUUGCUUUCUUGCCUUCCAAAACUGCUUUCUAUCUCGACCCAUUCUUCUCAGGUCCUUUAUUUUUGCUAAUUUCUUCAUAUCUGGCACCAGUCAGCACUGCUCCGCUCAGCACACUAACACAUGCUGCACUUUGGCUCAUUUAGCCUUGCUGAAAAGGCUAUCCUGCAGCUUCUGCAGUGGUUAAAUGCUGUACUUCCCAUUUUCCACUGCAGGUUGAAUUCCAGUUAGUUUCUGUGAACUCAUUUUGUAGUCUUCACUCCGCUUCCCUAAAGACCAACGCUUUUGUGUUGUUGCCUUCCCACAGACAUUCUUCAACAUGCCAAAGCUGACCUUAGGCUCCAUGAACAGAUGGGGCCUGAUCCAAAAUCCAUUAACAUCAGAGGAAAUGUCCAUUUAUGCCCAUGGGCUUUGCAUUAAAUCCUUUGUAUUUUACUUACUUUCUUUAGUGCCUCUUACUCAGCUCCGGUUAUUAAAAUCAGAUUAAUCUCUCACAGAUCCCUGACAGCUCAGCGUACUGUAUGAGCAAACCAGUGCUACUCCAAAAGGUAGAGACCAAAACCACUGUUCCGCUAAUGUGAAAUCUGAAGCUGGCCCACUAAAAGCAAGGCACCACUUCCAGAUUACAUCCCUGCAUAACUGAGGUCAGAAUCUCUUGCUAUUCAUUAGCUGAAUCUCCCAUUAGUGCUGCAGAGGCUGUCUCAAGAACAUUUCUUACUGUUCAGACAUAUAUUUUCCAGCCUCUGUGAGAUAAUUCUGCUCAGGCAUAAUUCAAGAUUCACCCGUUUGCAGUUUUAUUCUCAGUUUGAAUAGACUGCUAUGUCAGCCAGAGCAUCAAUAUUUCUUUCUGUUGACAUAAUACUCUCUCAUCCAUAUUGCCACCCCCCCUCCUGCUUCAUUUUGUCUACAUUGCUUUUGAAAACUCAACUCCCAUAACUUUGUCUCCCACUCAGUAUUUGGUUUAAUCAAGUCUGUCACUCAAUUCAUAUCCCACUUCUCGCUUGACACAAGUUUCUCAGUUAGCAAUCUGUUCUUAUAGCUCUUAUAUGCAUAACACGUGGUUAGCUUUUCUUUCUACUCAUUUCUUCUCUUCCCUUUCUCAUUGCCAGACCUCACUUUUACUUGUAGUGCUUCAAGAUAAGAAACUUCCUCUUCCAUCUUCCUCUUUUUACAUUUCAUACGUUAUGAGACCCCCACAACUGAGGAUUCUUAAAUACCAUGGGGUACUUUUCCCCAGAGCAGUCUUUAAAUCCAGUUGAACCAUUUUCUAACCAGGAGUCCUCAAGGAGUCCUCUAGGACAGGAGCUGCCUUCACUUGAGUGUCUGGUGAAGUGCAUAGAUGAUAACUUGGUCAGACUUGUUUAGAGUCCUCGAGUGUAUGCAGUAAAACACAUUUUGAAGCCAGAUAAACAUCCAGCACUUUCCUGUAUUUCCACAUGCUACUCUUGGAGUGGUUUUUCUUUUGUUACACAUUUACACAUUCUUUCUGCUUUCCUACUGUUACUAUCUCAUCUGCUAUUUGUUUUACAAGGUCCCAAUUAAAUCCUAAAAAUUACAAAUCUCCCUCAUCUGCUAUUUGUUUUACAAGGUCCCAAUUAAAUCCUAAAAAUUACAAAUCUCCCUGCUUCCAUGCAUUACUUUCAUCGUGAGUAACACAAGAAAGGUGCAGCCUUUUCUGGAAGCAAACUUCUUACACCCUGCCUAUUACCUGCACCAUCGCGAGCGUGUGCUCCGACUGGCAGAAUCUCACUCACAAUUAUACAUAGCUUUAGGUAAACCUCUCUUGGUACUGUAUUUCUUUGUGUGCCUCCUGUCUGUUUCCAUCUUCAUCAUCUUACCUGUCUGUA